rnacentral:rRNA from 1 species
CACGUAGGGGACGAGCGUUGUCCGGAUUCAUUGGGCGUAAAGCGCGCGUAGGCGGUCCAUCGCGUCGGGAGUGAAAAGCUGGGGCUUAACCCCAGUCCUGCUUCCGAUACGGGUGGACUAGAGGUAGGUAGGGGAGAUCGGAAUUCCUGGUGUAGCGGUGAAAUGCGCAGAUAUCGGGAGGAACACCGGUGGCGAAGGCGGUUCUCUGGGCCUGUACUGACGCUGAGGAGCGAAAGCGUGGGGAGCGAACAGG